AUGUGUGCACACAAACUUGGAGAUCAAUCCGUUCCAAGAGCUGGGAUAGAUUUAAAUGUGUGGCAGAGAGAAAGAGGACAGAGAUGCAUUUGCACUUUGGUUUGGUUGGCUGCUCCUUGCCCAGCAUGGGUUAACUCAGCUGUGGCUGUUUGCUGCUCCUCUGGGCUGGCACAGCUGCAUCCACCCAAGGAGCCUUGUCAGAAGGACCCCACAUCCAGGGUUCCAUGCAGGUUCCCUUCACGCCCCAUCUCCAGGCUCUCACCAGCACAGCUAUGCAGGGGGUGGAUGCACCAGGGCCAGAAUACAGCUGGGAAGCAGGGAGAGCUUCACCACAGCAACCUCAUGUGUGCAGUGCUGGCAAGCGAGCAGGGCCUCAUAACCUCCCCUGCUUUUCCUCUUGCUACUGAUCCAGUGCACAGCCCUUGGAUCUCUCUGCAGAAAUCUGGAGACUGCUGUGAGAAGCCAGAUGGGGGUAAUCUGCAUGGGGGAAAUGUGGGUGGAUAG
rnacentral:lncRNA from 1 species